GGCGCGCAAAUUACCCAAUCCUGAUACAGGGAGGUAGUGACAAGAAAUAACAAUGAAAGCGGCAUACGCCGUUGUUCUAUUGGAAUGAGUAGAAUUUAGAUCUCUCUUCGACUAACAAUUGGAGGGCAAGUCUGGUGCCAGCAGCCGCGGUAAUUCCAGCUCCAAUAGCGUAUAUUAAAGUUGUUGCGGUUAAAAAGCUCGUAGUUGGAUUUCUGUUGAGGAAGUCCGGUCCGCACUUUGUGCGUGAUCUGGUUCUGCCUCGGCAUCCUCGCGGGGAACGCGCUGCGCUUGAUUGCGUGGUGCGGUAUUCGCGACUUUUACUUUGAGGAAAUUAGAGUGUUCACGGCAGGCUAUCGCCUUGAAUACGUUAGCAUGGAAUAAUAAUAUAGGACCUUGGUUCUAUUUUGUUGGUUUCUAGAACUAAGGUAAUGAUUAAUAGGGAUAAUUGGGGGCAUUCGUAUUAACACGUCAGAGGUGAAAUUCUUGGAUUGUGUUACGACAAACUACUGCGAAAGCAUUUGCCAAGGAUGUUUUCAUUGAUCAAGAACGAAAGUUAGGGGAUCGAAGACGAUUAGAUACCGUCGUAGUCUUUACCAUAAACUAUGCCAACUAGAGAUUGGAGGUCGUUCUUUUUAUGACUCCUUCAGCACCUUAUG
rnacentral:rRNA from 1 species